AAGAUUAAGCCAUGCAUGUCUAAGUAUAAGCAAUCAUACUGUGAAACUGCGAAUGGCUCAUUAAAUCAGUUAUCGUUUAUUUGAUAGUACCUUUACCUGGAUAACCGUGGUAAUUCUAGAGCUAAUACAUGCUAAAAACCUCAACUUCGGAAGGGGUGUAUUUAUUAGAUAAAAACCAAUGCGGAGCAAUCCGGUUUUUGGUGAAUCAUAAUAACUUAACGGAUCGCAU
rnacentral:rRNA from 1 species